GGGCAGAAUAAAAAAUUACUAAAAAAAAAUCUUCUCAAAAUUACGGAAAUCGAGCGGCGGCGGCGGCGGCGGCUCCCCCCGCCCGCCGGCCCGCCCGCCCCCUCCCCGGCUCCCCGGCCCCGGGCGCAGCGCGCAUGUGUCCUGCUAUAAUUAUGAUUAUCAAUAAUGCAUUGCGAUUAAUCAUAGAGGGGCUCUUUGAAAGGCGAUUGGCACCGGGCCAGCGCUAUUCAAACCCGCUCGCCUUAAUCAAUUAGUUCGUGAUUUGCUGCAGACCCCUGUCUCUCCGCGCGCUGGCCCAAUAAGCCGGCCGCGGGGCUGGCUCUGCGCGCCGCGCCGCCCGACACUGGGUUAACCCUCUUCGCGACCGCCCGGGACUCCGCGGCCCGGCCGCCGCGGGCCUGCCUCCUCGCCUCUGCGCGCCCGGCGCCCGGGCCCGCGCCCCCCCUCCCUCGGUCCCCCCCCCAUCCCGGGCUGGGCCGACCCGAAUUAGCAUGCCCUCCCCGGAAUUAAGCCUCCCGGGUGGGGGGUGGGGCCGGGCGGCGGGGGCUGGAGACCCAGGCUGCGGGCGCGCGGCGAACUUCCCAACUCCGGCGCUAGGCGCGCCGGACCGCGGGGGGAGGGAGUCCCGUGGCGGGAUUUGGGGGGAGGAAGUCCCGUUUCGUGAGUGUUUCUUCGUUUCUUUAAGAGCUACCAGAAAACAGCCCACCCCCACCCCAUAAAAAAAAAAAAAUAAGCGAGUGGGGAAGAGCCAGCCCCACGCCGGUCCGCCUCCCGCCCGCGGCCCGGCCUCCCUCCCGCUCGCCGCCUGGCUCGGCGCUCCUGCGCCCCGAGUUCUCCAUCCCCUGGAUCGCGGGCUCGCGGGGGCGCGGAGAAGAGGACCGAGGAAAGGAUUCUCUGGAAGCUGCGGGAUCCCUCAGGAAAUGGUGGUUGACAGAGCUGGACAAAUGGACGCAGCGCAGUCCCCGCCCUCAAGGAGACUAGAGACGGGUCAGGGAGACGGAUGCGCACACAACUUCAGAGCCUUCACCGGGACUCCUGGGGACGUCAGCUGUGACACUCACCAGGCGUCAUGGCAGUUUCCUGCGCGGGGGCUUCUGCAGAAUCUCUGCCACGUCCCGGACUUGGCUCUGUGCCGCCGUGGCAGGAGCUUUUGUGGUCCUCAGCACCCCUGGAAAAUGUUCUAAUGCAAAACUGACUAAUAUUACUGCAAAGGUGAGAUAAAUUACGUAAUUUCAAGAGUCUGUGUCCAAAUAUUAGAUUUAAAUCGCCAUGUUGGCCCAGACAAGGAUGGUGAAAAAUGAGCCCUGCUCGAAUCUCUUGUGGUUGGAAUCAGAAUGAGAAAUAGAGUAGAUAUCUUGGUCAAAAU
rnacentral:lncRNA from 1 species